rnacentral:rRNA from 1 species
UUUUAAUAGAAUUAAUUAUUAAUAAAAUCUGCUCAAUGAUUAAUUAAAUAGCCGCUUAUAGUGCUAAGGUAGCAUAAUCAUUUGUCUUUUAAAUAAAGACUAGAAUAAAUGAUUUAACAUUUUAAUUAAUUCCUUUAAUUUUAAACUUUUAAAAUUAUCUUAAAUGUAAAAAGACAUUUAUAAAAAAAUUAGACAAUAAGACCCUAUUAAACUUAACUAUUGUUUAACUGGGGCAGUUAAUUAAUUAAUAUUUUAAUAUUAAUAAUUAUUAAUAAUCAAUAAAAUUUAAUUAAUCCAGUUACUAUAGGGAUAACAGCAUAAUAAAUUUUUAAAGAUCUUAUAAUAAUAUAUGAUUAUGACCUCGAUGUUGAAUAAUAACCUAUGAUAAGCAAAAAUUUCAAAAGGAAGUCUGUUCGACUUUUAAAAAAUUACA